ACACACACACACACACACACACACACACACACACACACACACACACACACACACACACACACACACAAGGGCUCAUGGCUGGGAGAGAAGAAGGGACGAGGGAUCAAGGAGAAGGAUGAGGAGAUAUUUUCAGGAGUGUUUCUGAAAGUGGGACAGAGACCAGAGACGCUGUUAGAGAUCCACGCCAUGUGGCCCGGGCCAGGGAGUCGGUGCAAAACCAGCAGAGUAGCGCAACCCAUCAAGAGUCACUGUGGGGCCGGAUGAUGGAGCAGUGUGCUGCAGCUCUUUUCAGGGACAACAAGUCCUAUGCUUUCCACAACAAAAAGAAAAGGAGAUGGUAUGAAAAGACUGCGGUCGCACUCACAAAACCAAACAGGGCGAAGGAAGGGCACGUUUCACCAAGAGCAAGAGAGCCAGAAAUCACACUUUAGAUGCCAAAGCAGGGAGGCAGCAAUUACCAGCAUUUGGGUUUUGAGCGAGGGAUAAAAAGAAAUGUAAGACCUGCCAUAACUGGAUGUAAGAUAGUCUGAUGCGCCAGCUGUAUUUAGACUGGAACUGGAUUGGGAAGUCAACAGGAGGGCCGCUUGCUUGGUCAUCUCCGCUCGCAGACUGUAUUUACACAGUUGUGAAGCAGAGCAGAAGAUCUCCUAGCAGGACAUGGCAGUGGAGAGUGCACUAGAGCCUCCAGGCCCCACUUGGUCACCAGAGGACUGGGCUGGGUGGUUCAUGCAUCGCCUGUAUCAGGAACCCUGGGCACUGGGUGGUGUUGUGGUCAUAGGAGUGUUUGUGCUGGGAACUCUUUCUCUGGUUGUGUUUGCUCUACUCUACGGUUGCUGUUGCGCCCAAAAGGAAGAAGGCAAGGGGAAGAAGAAGAAAUCCAAGAAUUCGGUGAUUUAGAUGUAUAUGAGGGGGACAUUAGUCAUCUUGACUCACACAUAUUAAGCACUGACAUGACAGAGAAAACCUGUUUAAAACUUACCUGUCCAUUGCUGGGUCAUUCUCAAACUGGACUGAAAUCUGAACUUGCAGUAUACUAACCCAAACUUUUGUAGCACAUAGACAUAUUCAAUUUACAUGUUUGAAAUUAAAGCAUAAUAUGGAAUACUUGUGUGCUUUUACUCUUUUGUGUUUACCAAAGCAACGUUAAUUGAAACUACAAUGUAAAUUGGGGGAAAAAUCAUUUCAUUUCCGAUUUGAUCAAGUAUUUUCAAUUAAUUUCUCUCAAUUGAUUGAUAUGAUUAAAACUGAUAGUAUAAACUCCUGGCUUCCAUCAGAGCUACAGACUCGCUCAUCUUUCAGCAGAGGCCUAAAAUGUUCUUUUCCAGGCCUACCUUAAUCUAUAGAUGGUCUUGAAGGAUGACUGUUACACUGUCAUACUUUGUGGCAUGGUCCAGCUAGGUUGUAAUUUGAAUCCCCUACUGUUAUUAUUUGCAUCUCUGUUGCAUCCUCCUAUUAUGCACUUAAACUAUUGGCUAUAAUAUGAUUACGAUUUAGUGCUCUAAGAUGCCCGC